rnacentral:tRNA from 1 species
GCUGGUCACAGCGUGGCAGGAAUACCGGCGUAGCUGCCGCCGUCGGUGGUGUUGGAUCCGCCGUCGGUGGUGUUGGAUCCGCCGUCGCCGGCG